AGAACUCGUUCAAGAAGGCAGCUCUCACGUGACGUCUUCAAAAGUGGGAGCAUGCUCUUGCUCAAGAAGACCGUUGGCUUCAAAAGUGGGGAGUAAGCUGAGCUGCCAACAUCAAUCUGUAAAACCCAUUCAAGAAUCGCAGUACUCAGCUCUCAUUCUCAAGGAUCUCGACGUCUUUCUCUCUCUAAAAGUUUCCCCACAGAGAUUAAACUAUAUGAAUGAGGCCUACAUAACUUCUUGGGCAGCCAUAGUGGAUCCACCAAAAAUGGAUGAAAGCCCAAAAGCGAUCAGUAGCAGCUUUUCAAGACUUGUAUGAGGAACUGAAUCACCCACCACAGUUGGAGAAGUAGAGAUCAGCUGUUGGGGAUCCAUGUGAUGAAUCAUGGAAGGGAGUCUCAUGUUUUAGGUGAAUUAUCAUUUUCAUGUAAUGCAACAUAGGUCCUCUUUAACUAUGUGCACAAUUUGGAUGAUACGUGAUGGACAUCUUGGAGGCCAGCUCCAUAAUCUCUAUAAUUUGAAGCAACUAUAUGAGUUAUGUCGAUUUAGAUUUAGGUUUAUGUAAAAUUAUGUGAGUUUUAUUCACUAAUUGUUUUUUCAAUUUAUACUUUCUAUUAGGGAUGUAAGCUCCAAUGACAGUCAGGGUGAAAUUCCUUACAGGUUACCCCUAGUGUCACUGAUAUAUGAGAUGCUUGAUUAUUUGUUUCUAUUAGUAUUCUUAAUGAUUUAUUUAAUUUUAUCUGUGGUUUCAUUUUCUAUAAAUGCAGAAAUUUGGCAUGCUAGAAAUUGAGUCAAAAUACUUCUUAGUCUCAUACUUAAAUGAAAAAUCUUCAAUUGUUUGUCCUGGUAUUGCCUAUUUGACUGGUUACUAUAGUUGGUUUAGUUUAAUGAUUCAUAAAUGACAAUUUCAUUCUUCCAGGGAUUUGAGCCUCAAUUCAUUAUCUGAACUCAUUGGCAACGUGUUUGCGGGCUUACAAAAACUAAAAGAAAUGUAUAAUUACCAGCCUGUAUGACCUGAAAGGAAGCAAGACAGUUAUACUAUUGGUAUUACAUGGUGGUAGUGGUUUUUUUUUUUUUUUUUGAAGCUUAUGACACAAUGAUAAGCCCUCUUUGUAUUGAUGUUGUGUGUGUUAAUGUUCUAUCAUUGGAGUGGAAACUAGUUGGUAGUUGCAUGAAUUAUUUUAUACUCAUUUAGAAAUCAUAAUGUUUAUAUAUUAUCUAGCCUCUUCUGUUGGUAUCUUCUAUCAGCCAAAUUUCUAAGCCUUGAAAAUCAUAUUUGGAUCUGUUGUCACAGGGAUCUAUCAUCAAGCUACUUUACUGAGUCUAUAUAUGAUCUUCUCGUUUGAUCUCCCACUUGUAGGUUCCUUCAUAGCAGUCUUUCUCAUAACCCGUUUUAUGUGUUUUUCUGAUUAUAAGACACGUUUUUUUCUUGCCAAGAACAUCCAAAGCAACCAUUUUAGUGGCAUUAUCCCUAGUUGGAACCACCUGUGGGACACGUGGCAGUAGACCCUCCAUUCUGUUGGUAGAUUUCAGAGAAAGACAGAGAAAACCAAGAGAGCAGGAGGCUCCUUUGGCAGUGUGGGAGUUGGUUAGAGCAGAGAGAGCAGGUUGGGGGAACUGUUAGAGAGAGAGUGUGUGGGAAUGUUGGAGAGGAGGAGAGAAACUAGCAGAGGGAUUUUUGUGAUCAUGACGGAAAAACCAACAGAGGAAAACCGGAGCAAAUAAAAAGAAGCUGUGGGGGGUGGGUGUGUUUCUAAGGUUUUUGAGAGAGAACAGGGGAGAGGCUUGGAAAAAUGUUUUGAGAGCUGAAGCUGUGAGCAGGAGAGGGUGAAGUCUUGGUGGAGUUUUUCUAAGUGGUCUGAGAGAGGGAAUUUUAAAGAGAGAGUGAUAGGGGUAUCCAUUUCAGAGGGGAAGCUACGGUUUUGUUGGUCCUAGAGGAAGAGAGAGCGUUGGAAGCUGAGCAAGCUUUGCUUGAGAGGCCCAGGUAUGCCCAUUAUGGAUUUCAUUCUCUUCAUCAUCUGUUUUUGCUGAUUUUGAGCAUUGUUUGCUGAUUGGGUGUGAAUAUUGGAUGUACGGACAUUGCUUAUUGCUUUCUAAGUUGUUGAUAGACUAGAUCUUUCCGUAUUCAUAUACUGCAUCUUUGGUUUUCUUUGAGAUUUAUCUUCAAUAUGAUUCAGCUUCACUGUGUAUGGUAUGAGAAUCAUGCUUCUGCCCCCUGUCUCUUUCACCUGCUUUUGGCCCUUUGAUUAAAACAUGAAAAGGGACCUCAUUCAGUAGUUUGCUUGCUUGCUUGGCUCCUCUUGGGUCUCACCUGUUUUCUGUUUGUGUUUUUCUCUCUCUGUUAAUGGAGGCCAUGGGGUCAGAAUUUAAAAUCCAUUGGGUUUGGGGAGAUUGCGAGAGAAGGGUGGGGUGAGUUUCAUUCACCACCUGAUGCUUUCAAAGUAGAUUGUGAAGGCAGUGAAGGUCCGGGUUCAGACUGAGACUACCUUUGCUAGAGAUCUGUCAGAUGGAUAUCCCAAGUUUGUUAAAGCUGAAGGAGCUUUGGGAUUGUACAAAUGUCUUGUUCCUUUUUGGGGAUGUCAGAUUCCAUAUGCAUUGAUCAAAUUUGCUUCUUUUGGGAUCAUUAUUGAGUACAAGGAUGCCAUUCCUACUCUGAAGGAUCAGUGCAAUAGAAGUCUGCAGCUUGGUGUAAGCUUUGCUGAUAGAUAUGGCUGGUGUUUUCUGCUCUAUUGUUUCUCAUUCAGCUGAUAAUCUUGUGUCCUUCCUCAACAAUCCUAAGGGAGUUGUGUCAUCCCUUCAGCUUUGACUGUGCUAGUGCUAUGACUGAGCAACUCCAGACAGCAAGGUGGGUACAAAGAAGGUUAAAAAAUGCUGUGGAAACUGUUCAGAGGAUUAAGAGAAUGGAGCUAAGCAAAAUACUUCCUUAAGGGGAAAUUCAGACUUCUUAAACCAAUGAACGUGCCUAUUUGGACUGCCAAUCCAUUUAUUAUUAUUUUUUUAUUCUCUCCACUCCCUACAUCUUCUCUGAAACCUUAUAAACCCUAACUCUCUCAACCAAAGGGGUUUUCAGAGCUCAAUCUUCUCCAUUAAUGGAUGAACUGGAACAACUAGAAACUCACUCUUGUCACAAGGAAGCCAUGCUUUGGCCUCCCAGCAACUUGCCCUUCUUGCUUGCCCGUUUACAUCUACCUCAGAUUCGCCCAAGUUCCCUUUGAUCUGAGUUUCAAUUUCAUUCAUCCUGAUUCUGAUCAGAUUCCUUGCAUUGAGUCUGGUGCUUAUGCGGCCUAUAACAAUAAGAAGAGUGGCAGACUUCUGAAGGGUAUUCUGCAUAUUUAUCUAAGUGGCCUGUGGAUCAGAAGUUGCAUUCAGAUUCAGCAUAUGGUCUCUCAAGUAAGUUUGACAUACAGGAAGCCGAUUGUGUGGAUUUACUGAAUUCUUUGGAGCCUGGACAUGCAUAUCCUGAUGGGCAGAAAGGUCAUCCUUUGCGAAAUGGAUUUCAAAUACAGCUUUUAAAUUUGGAACAUGGAUUCUAUCAGAAAUCAGAUGCAGAAAGAAUAUCCUUGAUAGGACCUAGUUCAGGACACUCCCUCCAAUCACUCGGCUGUGACAUGUGAAUGAUAAAUGCCCUGAAGACACCAUACCCAUCAGAAGAACAAAGCAGGAUAAUAUUUGUAGUGUAUGUUCAGUGAAAAGAUAUGGAAGGAAGAGGCACGAGAUCAUUUCCUGCCAAGGUCUGCAGAUCCAGACCUCAAUCAAUGAGAGUGGCCAUCAGCAUGGAGUUGUUUAUGUUGAAGGAGAUAAAAACUAUGGAGUUAAAGCCACCAUUAAUGUUUGGGAACCCAAAAUACAACAGCCAAAUGAGUUCAGUCUGUCUAAAUUCAUUAUUCAUUUACCGGACAUUUCUCAUGGGGUGCUCCAUUUAUCUUGCUCCAAGAAAAUAUUAUGCAGGAAUCAACGAAGCGGGAGCGGUGGGAUUCAAACAGGUUGUUGAAUGAGAUCAACCAGCUGGAGAGUUGUUCUUGCCUAGCGGCCUUCAGCUCUACAUCGAUGAUAACUAUAACUUAGAGUUUUUAUUAGAGAGCUUCAAGUCACUUGAACUCAUAUGCAAUCUUAAAUCCUGGGAACAACAGAUAUCCUACACUUGAUUCUAAGGGAAAUUUGAUUGGAAUUGACGCAGCAAUAUUUACUCAUACAGGUAGAGGCUGAUCACUCACAAAUUCAUAUUUUUAUUUUUUUGGUUGUUGGUUAUAGAGAGUGAGGAAGUCCUUCUGCAGUAUGGGGGGCAGAGAGAGAGAGAGAGAGAGCUGUGAGGGGGGAUUCUUCUUUUUUAUUCAGGGGGCUGCAGAAGGAGCUGGUUGGAGGAGGAGAGGUUUGUUUGAGGGUAGGGGAUUCUGAUUUGUUUUAGGAGCCUUGGAGAGGAAAAAAAAAAGAAAAAAGAAACCAGCAGAAGAGGAGCCGGAAGGAGUAAGGAGGGAUGGCCGGUCUUUGAAGAAGAUUGAGGAGGAAGCAAUCUUUACUUUGGAGGAAGACUACUCAGGAAAUUUGGGCUGCCUAUUGACUCUCACUAAGACACGUGCACUCAAAGAAGGCAAGCAAAAUAUUUUUGGAGGGAAAAUGAGAUCAACUUGGCUGCAUAAGAAUUAGACAGAGAAUAAACUUUCCAAAAUGGAAAACACACAAAAAGAUAGAAAGGGUGCAGGAGAAUUUUUUUGGAGGGUCUUCGUGAAAAGAAAAAGAACUCGUGUUCACUGGUCUUUUGAAGGUUUUGAAGAUAGUUUAAAGCCGAGCAAUUGGAGUGCAGAUUGCCAGAAAGUUUGGUGUGGAAAAGUUUGAUCCAGCAAGUGAGCAAUUUGAUCUUCUUAGACAUAAUGUGGUAUUCCAAAUACCAGAUCUUUCUAAGCCUUUUGAUACUGUUGAUGUGGUUCUAAAGACUGCGAACCAGAUGCAGCCUGGAUCAUUUAACUUCAGUAAUGGUUCUAAACAGUUCUACAGAGGGAUACAUGAAUCAGAAAGCAAGGAAAAUGACUUGACAGCCUAUGUAAACAGCGAGUUUCGAGAGAUGGCAAUAUUGGGAGCAUUGAAAAGAAGUUCCUUUGCAGUUGAGGAUUCUCCUUCUUCAACAGAUAUAACAGGGUUGUUGUCUUUUGCAUGAACAUCAUCAACUCCAGGUAUGAGGUGGAGGGAAAAUUUAAAAAGGUGUAGGAGAGUGACUUGGAUGAUGGAAGGAAAAGCAUAGUAGAAGGGAGAGAAGAAAAGCUAGAGAGGAAAGAGGGCUGACCAGGCAUUCUAGAGCAAGGAAGAAAAUCAGAGAGCAAGAGAGAAGAAGAGUAGAACAGAAGAGAUGGUUCAUAGGGUUUUUGGCUAGUCUUGGGAGUAGGAGCAGCAAGCCUGAAGCCCAGCACACCUUGCUGCAGAGGAGACUUUCAGGUAUGGCUGUUAUGGGUUUCCCGCUUAUGUCAUCUUUCAUGCUUCUCCCACCUCUUUCCCAAAUGAUUUUUACAUUGCUUGUUGGGUUGUUAUGGAUUGGUUAUUGUUGCGUUAAUCUUUCUUUUCUCUGGUUCCAUUAAGGAAAUAUUUGACUAUGCUUCGGUUUACUGUUUCAUACUUGAAGAGCUUGCUGCAUUUUGUGCUUUUCUUUUAAGACAUUUGCCAUGGAUUAGCCCACUGAUUAUUAAACCCAUGGAUAAAAUAAUGAAAUGGGUUCAGCAUAUUUGGUGAAUGUUUUAUGCCCUGCUCCUUUUCCUUGUCUUUUGCUCUUUCCCUGUAUUCCUCUGUUUCCAGUUCCUUUGAGAAAGUUUGAGAUGUCAUUAUUGGGAGGCUUGCUCUUGGCAAGUAUUGAGGUUGAUCCUGUUAUGGAUAUCUGCAUAAAGCCACUAGAAGGAUGGAAGACCAGUGUAGUUACAUAGUAUAUGCUCUAGAUUGUGGGAUUUGAAAUCUGUGCUGCUGCAUUGCUGGGGAUAUUGACACAGGGCAUAAUACCUUUGAGAACGGAAAUCUAAAAGUUUCAGACUUUGAAUGAGCGCUUUUGCGGAACCUAAACGCCAAGAUGAUUGGUUUCACACAACUAAAAGGCACACACCAGGAGCUUCAAGUUCAGAAUCUUGACUAUGCCAUUUCCCAUGACCCCUUCCUCCAUUCCUUACCUUUCUUCAUUCAAGCGCUAGCUUCUGGAAGAUACCCAAGUCAUAAUAUGUUCCCUUCUGUGCUAAAAUCAUGCACUUUGAUGAAAAACUUGAGUUUCAGUGGUGCAUAGAAAUUUUGUGAUUCCGAGAUGAUCAGUGGAAUUCUUGAACAAAGGAGAUGUUGUGGGAGAUGGUAACAUAUGUUUUCCAGCUUGGUUAUAGACUGUUAAAUGUGAAGCACAGUUAAAAUCUGAUCCUGGAUGACCGGUAGUAGCGGGAUGGCAAAGCUGGUGGCAAUCCAACAUUGACUCUUUCCACAGACACAAAUAUCUUUCACCAACAAAGACCUCCCCAUGUGCAUAUGAUCCAUGCAUGCAUGACCACCCAAAGCCUUCUGAUGAAAUCCUUCUUCAUCAAAUCCAAAUCCUAAGCAUCCAACCCCUUUUCAACGAAACAAUAGCUAAACUUGAAGUUGAAUUGAGCCGCCCUGGAAAGCUAAUUGUUGCUGAUGUUGAAGGAAAGUUAUGCAUGAUCAUGGAAAUCCCUCAAGUCUUUGAUCAGACCAAUAAAGAGCCUCUUGAUGAUGUGUACCUGGUGUUGGAAGUAU